rnacentral:rRNA from 1 species
GCCGAAGGGGGUCGGAUUAUUGGGCGUAAAGAGCUCGUAGGCGGCGUGUCGCGUCUGCUGUGAAAGACCGGGGCUUAACUCCGGUUCUGCAGUGGAUACGGGCAUGCUAGAGGUAGGUAGGGGAGACUGGAAUUCCUGGUGUAGCGGUGAAAUGCGCAGAUAUCAGGAGGAACACCGGUGGCGAAGGCGGGUCUCUGGGCCUUACCUGACGCUGAGGAGCGAAAGCAUGGGGAGCGAACAGGAUUAGAUACCCUGGUAGUCCAUGCCGUAAACGUUGGGCGCUAGGUGUGGGGACUUUCCACGGUUUCCGCGCCGUAGCUAACGCAUUAAGCGCCCCGCCUGGGGAGUACGGCCGCAAGGCUAAAACUCAAAGGAAUUGACGGGGGCCCGCACAAGCGGCGGAGCAUGUUGCUUAAUUCGACGCAACGCGAAGAACCUUACCAAGGUUUGACAUCACCCGUGGACCUGUAGAGAUACAGGGUCAUUUAGUUGGUGGGUGACAGGUGGUGCAUGGCUGUCGUCAGCUCGUGUCGUGAGAUGUUGGGUUAAGUCCCGCAACGAGCGCAACCCUUGUUCCAUGUUGCCAGCACGUAAUGGUGGGGACUCAUGGGAGACUGCCGGGGUCAACUCGGAGGAAGGUGGGGACGACGUCAAGUCAUCAUGCCCCUUAUGUCUUGGGCUGCAAACAUGCUACAAUGGCCGGUACAAUGGGCGUGCGAUACCGUAAGGUGGAGCGAAUCCCUUAAAGCCGGUCUCAGUUCGGAUUGAGGUCUGCAACUCGACCCCAUGAAUGUGGAGUCACUAGUAAUCGCGGAUCAACAACGCCGCGGUGAAUACGUUCCCGGGCCUUGUACACACCGCCCGUCACGUCAUGAAAGUCGGCAACACCCGAAACUUGCGGCCUAACCCUUCGGGGAGGGAAUGAAUCAAUGUGAGGCUGGCCAUUGGAACGAAAUCAUAACAAGGUAGCGUACCGGAAGGGCGGUGUGCCCCCCCUUUUUAAAAAAAAAAAAUGGGUUGUGCGGGUGU